rnacentral:lncRNA from 1 species
GGAAACGAUCCAAAAACAGAGUGAUGAAAUGGAUUUGGAGGAAAGAAGAAAGGAAGAUAGAGGGUGGGGGAGAGAAAGAUUUUUUUUUUAAUUUUUUAAUUAAUAAUUUGGGGUUAGUCUAGGUCGCGAAGUGGAUGGAAUAAGACGGAAAACGCUGACUGUAAGUUGGAAAAUUUUCGACCUUAGGACAAUUAAAAAAACGUUAAACUUAAAGAACUAUUAAAAUCGAUAGCCAGUUUAAAUAACACAACAAUAUGAUUUACUACCUUUUCUGCUUUCUCUCAAAUUU